GGUGUGUACAGCUUUUCAUGUGUUGAAAACUCGACAAGUAUCAAAAAUUAUGUAUGCAAAAUUAUGACACAAACUGCUUUCCAUACUUUAAAAAUAUCGAAAUGAGGGGGGUGCUAUGAAUCAUACAAAAAUUACCAAAACGGGUAUUUGAAAGUGUAUAGAACAUUUUUAUAGUGUUAAUGUUGUCUCUGUGUGUUCACAAGUAAUAACAAACGGUUGUGAAACAAUAAAACAAAUAAUCUGGUGACGUGGCAUAUUUUGUCAUCACUGUCAUUUACCCAACGUUUUAUACGUCAUCAAAACACAAUACAUGUUUGUAUAUAUGUUUACAAUAGACAGUUCUUCAAAUUGUCAAUAUGCUAUAAACUUACACUGUGCUGGAAUCUGGCAGAUAUGUCAAUAAAUGAUGCUGAAUCAUCAACGUGAGCAUGUAAAGAAGGGAAAAUUACAAAAGAGGGGAAAGUAACGAAGAAGAUAGUAAAUGUAAGUCAACUUUCGGAAACAUCAUGAAAUAUUUACGGACAAGUCAGUACACUCCCGUCUGGCAUGUUAUUUAUGCCACUAUACUAUUCACAAGUUCUUUACAAUAGCACAAGUUCUGUCACUGGUCUAAGGAAGAAAGCUGGUUUUACACAGUCUUUGUCCACAGUACGC
rnacentral:lncRNA from 1 species